CUUUGAUUUCAUGCAAAGGAAGCAGGAGCUGCAGGAUCAUGUGGAAUACUUUCAUGGAGAAAUCCUGACACUGAAGACACAAGGAUGUCUUGGCCCGCUCUGUACACUCAGUUGGUCGGGGCGAA